rnacentral:tRNA from 1 species
GGCGUCGUAGCCCAGCUGGUAGGGCACUUGCGGUACUAUGGCGAGGGUGGUGACCAUGCGUGGGUUUGAAUCCCGGCGGCGCCA